UCCAAGUCUCGUUCUUCCCCAAACUGUAAUAGGGAAAAACAUUUGCUGAGCCAGCGAAUUAUGUUGCUGCUUUAAAAAAAAAGAAAAAGAAAAAGAAAAUGGUUUUUUUUUUCCUUUUGUUUUGCUUCCUUUUGCAGUGAUGAGGUGCUAGCUUAGCCCACACUGUGUGACCUUUGUUAGAAAAGUCACCUGCUGUUACAAGUUACUCUGGUCUCCUGUUGUUACAGACUUACCUCGAUUGUGUUCUACAUGUAUAAUUUGAAUUCAUAUGGGAUUUCACAGGACCCCUGCUCUUUUCUUUAUAAUUUAAGGAAAUAGAAAAAUAGGCUUCCUAUCUGAGGGAUAUCAGGCCUCAUUUUUAUUGUCACAGAAGUCAUACUUCCUAGAAGACCUAUGCAUCCCACAGGAUUUUUUGAGAAUCGAAUAUAAAAUCUUUACAAAUAAAAAAUUAGGCAUGCAGACACAUUGGAAGGCAAGGAGAGUGGAAUUUAUUAAAAGAAAGCUCUCAGCAAAAAAAAAAAAUAAAAAUGGGAGGUUCCUGCCAACAGGCUUCCACCUCACAGAUUGAAUACCAGGCCACAACACAGCAGCUGAAGAGACUGCGCUCCUCCCCACUUCAUAAGGACCGACGCAGUUCAUGUUCCUGAAGGUUUACCCCGGCAGACGGUAUAAAUCCAAAUCACCUUCCCUCCUGACUUCUCUCCACUACUCAGGGUGGCUCCUUUAUUUCAGCCUCAGGGCCUCUCUCACACAUGAUCAGCAUCUAGGGUUCCAACAUACAUGCAUGCACGUGUACACACAUACACAAGCGCACACGCGCACAUGCACACACGCACUGCACCUUUGUUAACACUAUCUUCCUGUCACAAAUUGCCUUUCCCUCUCCUCUCAGAUUCAAAUCCUAGCACAGAGUUAAAAGUUCAGGCUCUGGAAAUCAGGUUGCCUGUGUUUGUAUCCAGCUUUUCUACAUAUUAACUAGAUGACCUUGUGCAGGUUACUUAACUCUCAAUGUCUAGGUUUCCUCAUGCAAAAUGAGAAUAAUAGUAGUACCUAUCUGAGGUGGCACUGCUAAAUGUCUAUUUGAUGUCCAUUUCCUUCCUUCUUCACCAAUAUCCAACUCCAUAGCUUUUUAGGCAGCUAUGUUGUCAGAUGAAAGAAAAACAAAAAGCCUUCAUUUCUCAACCAGUUAUGCCACUGGGUGUCCAUGUGAUAUAGUUCUAACCAACGGGAUGGAGUGGAAAUCUGAAGUCUGCUAGAAAGUCUUAGGAAAGUGUUUCUUUCCAUUUAUUUGCACUUGUUGCUUUUGUUGUCUUUCUACUGGGAUGCCAGUGCAAUGCCUUAAGUGGACCACUCAUUUUAUAACCAUGGGGCUAAAAAACACCCACGGAGCAUGAUGCAGCUGAAGGUUAGAGGAAGCUGGAAACUUGAUGAUUUCUCAAGCAUUUGUAUCAGCCCCAGGCUGCCUACUCCUGAACCUUACUAUGCGAGGUAGGAUGAGCCUUUACUUCAUUAUGCCACUGAGGUUAUGAUAUGGACAAGAGGCAGGGAAAUACUGGUUAAAAGAGAGUGGUUCCCUGGCAAAGGCCCUAUCCUCUAGCCUGGAAACCUACAGCCCUAAAUAGGAACAGGCAUUCCUGUUUUAGUGCCAAAUGUUGCCUUUUCCAAGACCACCCUGGCCUGCCACACCCCCACCCUGUACCCAUAAAAACUCCAAACCUCAGGCUCCAUGAGCAGAAGAGCAGCAAAGCAGUGUGGCAGAGAAGGAGAGAGGAGAAAGAGUGUCUGAACAUCGAGGAGUUCAGCUGGGGACUGUCAAGAGAGAUCAUUCGUGGGAUGGCCAAACUCCAGGGGAAGGUUGUUUUCUCACUCCAUCCUCUUUCCAGCUUCCCAUCCAUCCUGCUGAGAGCCACCUCCAUCAUUCAAUAAAAUCUCUGUAUUCACCCUCCUUCAAGUCUGUAGGACCUGAUUCUUCCUGGCUGCCAGACAAAGACCUGGGUACCAAGACGACAGGAUGUAAAAGGCUGUCACCCUAACUCUUCACUGAGCUGGUUUAACACUUAGCCAUCCACGGACAGUAACUGCUAAAAGAGCAUUAAUUGUAACACACCCCUAGAUGCCACCAUGGGGCUAGAGCCCAAAAGCACUCAUCCCGUCUCCUGCACCUGCCUGUCUGCAUGCUCCCCCUCCCUUAAGGGGUUUGAGUGUGCAGUGGCCAAGCGAACAAGCCACACCUCUGUUGCAAGUCCCAUAAGAGGGUGAAGGAACUCUCUCAUUUCAGUUAGGUUUCUGUUACUUAACAGUGUGUAAGUCACUGUGAGGGUUGAAACACACAUCAAUGACCAGCAGAAUGCCUGAAUAAUAAGUGCUUAUAAGAGUGUUAGCUAGAGACUGGGCAUGGUGGCUCAUGCCUAUAAUCCCAGCACUUUGG